UAUCUAAUAAAAGGUUCGGGUGCCUGCUUUAGGCUUGAUAGGGAACCCCGUUAAAAUCGGGGAUGGGCCCGCCGCUGUGACCCCUCGCCCUUUUCUUUUUGAAAAGGGAACUCUUUUAGCCAGUGUGUGCCACUGUUUCGAUGGGUCGGAAUGGGAAGGCCGCUAAAAGGGCGGGGAAGUCAGAAGACCUGCCUGAACUGUUAAACCUUC
rnacentral:ncRNA from 2 species